rnacentral:rRNA from 1 species
CAGCCGCCGCGGUAAUACAGAGGGUGCGAGCGUUAAUCGGAUUUACUGGGCGUAAAGCGUGCGUAGGCGGCUUCUUAAGUCGGAUGUGAAAUCCCUGAGCUUAACUUAGGAAUUGCAUUCGAUACUGGGAAGCUAGAGUAUGGUAGAGGAUGGUAGAAUUCCAGGUGUAGCGGUGAAAUGCGUAGAGAUCUGGAGGAAUACCGAUGGCGAAGGCAGCCAUCUGGCCUAAUACUGACGCUGAGGUACGAAAGCAUGGGGAGCAAACAGGAUUAGAUACCCGUGUAGUCCCUGUCUCUUAUAC